CCCCUAGAUGUUCUGGGCCGCACGCGCGCUACGCUGAACAGUUCAACAAGUCUUAACCUUGGCCGAUAGGUCUGGGUAAUCUUUGAACGCUGUUCGUGAUUGGGAUAGACCUUUGCAAUUAUGGGUCUUCAACGAGGAAUUCCUAGUAAACGCAAGUCAUCAGCUUGCAUUGAUUACGUCCCUGCCCUUUGUACACACCGCCCGUCGCUCCUACCGAUUGAAUGGUCCGGUGAAGCGUUCGGACCGUGGCCUUUGGACGGUUCGCCGUCUGUUGGCUGCGGGAAGUUCGUUAAACCUUAUCAUUUAGAGGAAGGAGAAGUCGUAACA
rnacentral:rRNA from 1 species